GAUGAACGCUGGCGGCGUGCCUAAUACAUGCAAGUCGAGCGAACGGACGAGAAGCUUGCUUCUCUGAUGUUAGCGGCGGACGGGUGAGUAACACGUGGAUAACCUACCUAUAAGACUGGGAUAACUUCGGGAAACCGGAGCUAAUACCGGAUGAUAUUUUGAACCGCAUGGUUCAAAAGUGAAAGACGGUCUUGCUGUCACUUAUAGAUGGAUCCGCGCUGCAUUAGCUAGUUGGUAAGGUAACGGCUUACCAAGGCAACGAUGCAUAGCCGACCUGAGAGGGUGAUCGGCCACACUGGAACUGAGACACGGUCCAGACUCCUACGGGAGGCAGCAGUAGGGAAUCUUCCGCAAUGGGCGAAAGCCUGACGGAGCAACGCCGCGUGAGUGAUGAAGGUCUUCGGAUCGUAAAACUCUGUUAUUAGGGAAGAACAUAUGUGUAAGUAACUGUGCACAUCUUGACGGUACCUAAUCAGAAAGCCACGGCUAACUACGUGCCAGCAGCCGCGGUAAUACGUAGGUGGCAAGCGUUAUCCGGAAUUAUUGGGCGUAAAGCGCGCGUAGGCGGUUUUUUAAGUCUGAUGUGAAAGCCCACGGCUCAACCGUGGAGGGUCAUUGGAAACUGGAAAACUUGAGUGCAGAAGAGGAAAGUGGAAUUCCAUGUGUAGCGGUGAAAUGCGCAGAGAUAUGGAGGAACACCAGUGGCGAAGGCGACUUUCUGGUCUGUAACUGACGCUGAUGUGCGAAAGCGUGGGGAUCAAACAGGAUUAGAUACCCUGGUAGUCCACGCCGUAAACGAUGAGUGCUAAGUGUUAGGGGGUUUCCGCCCCUUAGUGCUGCAGCUAACGCAUUAAGCACUCCGCCUGGGGAGUACGACCGCAAGGUUGGAACUCAAAGGAAUUGACGGGGACCCGCACAAGCGGUGGAGCAUGUGGUUUAAUUCGAAGCAACGCGAAGAACCUUACCAAAUCUUGACAUCCUUUGACAACUCUAGAGAUAGAGCCUUCCCCUUCGGGGGACAAAGUGACAGGUGGUGCAUGGUUGUCGUCAGCUCGUGUCGUGAGAUGUUGGGUUAAGUCCCGCAACGAGCGCAACCCUUAAGCUUAGUUGCCAUCAUUAAGUUGGGCACUCUAAGUUGACUGCCGGUGACAAACCGGAGGAAGGUGGGGAUGACGUCAAAUCAUCAUGCCCCUUAUGAUUUGGGCUACACACGUGCUACAAUGGACAAUACAAAGGGCAGCGAAACCGCGAGGUCAAGCAAAUCCCAUAAAGUUGUUCUCAGUUCGGAUUGUAGUCUGCAACUCGACUACAUGAAGCUGGAAUCGCUAGUAAUCGUAGAUCAGCAUGCUACGGUGAAUACGUUCCCGGGUCU
rnacentral:rRNA from 1 species